rnacentral:rRNA from 1 species
UACGGGGGGGCAAGCGUUGUUCGGAAUUACUGGGCGUAAAGGGCGCGUAGGCGGCCACCGCAAGUCGACUGUGAAAUCUCCGGGCUUAACCCGGAAAGGUCAGCCGAUACUGCGGGGCUAGAGUGCAGAAGGGGCAACUGGAAUUCUCGGUGUAGCGGUGAAAUGCGUAGAUAUCGAGAGGAACACCUGCGGCGAAGGCGGGUUGCUGGGCUGACACUGACGCUGAGGCGCGAAAGCUAGGGGAGCGAACGGG